UCAGCUCGGCUCAGACUCUCCUCAUCGAGAUUAACGCUGCGGACAGGGCCGGGCGGCCCGGGGGGGCAGCGUGGCCCUCAGCGUGACGUCACGGACCCCUCAUCAGAGGCCGCUGACAUUUACUGUAUCGCUUUGGAGAUGUAAGAGCACUUAGCCGCGAGGCAGGGAGGCACUUUUCAUCGUCGCUUUGAUGCCUUCCUCCUCCUACUUGCAGUGACGGGAUACACACUUUUCUCAGGGUCCCUCUUGUUGUGGUGCGACUUAGAAGAAGAAGAAGAUCCACAGACCUAGUAGGGGGGUUUCUGUGUGAUGGAGCAGGGCGGUAAGCAGGUGCAGAUAUCAAGCAGCUAGUUGUGUCUUUUUUUUUGGCCUUUGAUCAGAAGGAUAAUAACAUUCUCAUAACUCAUACAGUAAAUAUGAAGCUACUGACGGAAGCGGCUCAGCUCAGCGGGAAAGACCGGAAACAGGGAGACUGCUUGCAUAGUUAUUUUCAAAACUCACUAUGUUGUUAAUUAUAAAAACAGCACGUUUGACAGGUUUGUCACAUGGAGGACCAGGUAUCAGACAAGGUGGCAGACUCCUCAUGCGACUCACAAGAAACAAGACGCGUUUAGUCAUCAGCAGAGCUCGUAAAGUCUACUGAGCUAUAGAGAGAUAAGAAAUGUCACAAAGGCAGAGAAAGUGAGUCAUUCCAUCCGGCGUGAUGGACAUGUGACCACACACACACACACGCAGACACACACAGAGCGACUAUGAUUCACUCCUCUGCUCAGAGAGCUGGUGUGAUUCAUCCUGCGCCCUCGCUGUGGCAGCGCACAUUAAAAGCAAACCCUGCUACAGUUUAAAUGACCCGAGUGCUGAUUCAAAGAAAAGAAACUCCUGGACUCCGUCUCUCCCGGCUCCGGAUGACCCUGCAGCAGCCCGCUCGCCCACCCAAAACCGGCUUAUUCUGCCUCCUGCAACUCGUGGGGUGACGAAACCCAAUGAAAGGAUGCACAGGCCGAAUAUAAACAGAAAUAUGCAAGAAACGUUCAAGGAAAAGGUUUAUGUUGGCCCCCCGCUCUGUUGUUGUACAUUUGUCUUUACGUUUUCCUGUUGGUUAAUAUUAUGAACAGCAUUACACUUUUCGGAGUCAGUAUUUUUUCUAACGGAUAUCUUAUUUUGUAGCACUUAACAGAAGUAACAUGAAUGCACUCAAAGAGUGUGCCGCAGCUCAAGUGCCUGUAUACAAGCGUCAGGUGUCUUUAAGUUCAAGAGUUUGAUUAUAUCUCUUUUUUUUCACUUAUUCUAUGAGUUUGUGUGUUUCUGAUGAAGGUUUUUUGUAAGUCAGGUGACCUUGGGAGACUCAAGCAAACUGUAUAAACCUGGCACCGAUAUUAAGGGACUCAUACACAUAGGUGGCCAAUGAAGGCAUGCUGUGUGUCUACUUGCUAUACGUACUGAAACUAAUAGGGUCAUGUAGCAUUACAGAAAACAUACACAUGUCACCUGAGACUUCUGCUCAAAAACUCACAUAUGCCGUUACCCAAUAGCUCUACUGUGCAGAGGUUUUGCAUGCGCAGUACGUUUCAUCGUCAUCAUGGCAUCACGAUGAAACCUUAUCGGGAGGUUUACUGUGAUAUCGUUACAAACGUGAUGCGGAUGGUCCCGAAAAAAGCUGAAUGUCGACUUACCUACUAAUGUAAAAUGCAUUGUGUAAAUGUGAAUUUCUUAGAGUUAAUACAAGAUACAGAAAUACGCUAUGAAAUGUAAAAGAAAAUAACUAAAUAACAAUGUGUGCAAAUGAAAUAGAGCAUCUAUAAUACAAUAAACAGAGAUGUCAUUGCA
ensembl:lncRNA